rnacentral:lncRNA from 1 species
GGGACAUGUAAGGCAAGGUAUGGGGGAAGGGGCUCAGAGCUUCCAUGGCCUCCCUGGUUGUGCCACCCUUCAGGAGGCUCCACUUUUUCAAGUAUCCAGAAGCUCCUGAACCCUGUCCUCGUGGAUUUUCACGGAGGCUUCAUGACAUCAGCAUUCCUUACCUCAGGGUAUAGGAUGGGACCCUCUUAUGGGAGGGUCUUAAGACCCACAAUCAGUCUUUGCCGCCGCGCCGGCGAGCGCCGCCCGGGAGGCAGCGGCUGGAGGAGCGGACGGGCCCCGCGGGGCCCGAGGGCAAGGAGCAGCCGCCGGCCUUGGCCUCCCAAAGUGCCGAGAUUGCAGCCUCUGCCCGGCUGCCACCCCGUCUGGGAAGUGAGGAGUGUUUCUGCCUGGCCGCCCAUCGUCUGGGAUGUGAGGAGCCCCUCUGCCUGGCUGCCCAGUCUGGAAAGUGAGGAGCGUCUCCGCCCGGCCGCCAUCCCAUCUAGGAAGUGAGGAGCGCCUCUUCCCAGCCGCCAUCACAUCUAGGAAGUGAGGAGCGUCUCUGCCCGGCCGCCCAUCGUCUGAGAUGUGGGGAGCGCCUCUGCCCCGCCGCCCCAUCUGGGAUGUGAGGAGCGCCUCUGCCCGGCCGAGACCCCGUCUGGGAGGUGAGGAGCGUCUCUGCCCGGCCGCCCCGUCUGAGAAGUGAGGAGACCCUCUGCCUGGCAACCGCCCCGUCUGAGAAGUGAGGAGCCCCUCCGCCCGGCAGCUGCCCCGUCUGAGAAGUGAGGAGCCUCUCCACCCGGCAGCCACCCCAUCUGGGAAGUGAGGAGCGUCUCCGCCCGGCAGCCACCCCGUCCGGGAGGGAGGUGGGGGGGGGUCAGCCUCCCGCCCGGCCAGCCGCCCCAUCAGGGAGGGAGGUGGGGGUUCAGCCCCGCCGCCCGGCCAGCCGUGCCAUCCGGGAGGGAGGUGGGGGGGUCAGCCCCCCGCCUGGCCAGCCGCCCCGUCCGGGAGGUGAGGGGCGCCUCUGCCCGGCCGCCCCUACUGGGAAGUGAGGAGCCCCUCAGCCCGGCCAGCCACCCCGUCCGGGAGGGAGAUGGGGGGGUCAGCCCCCCCACCCGGCCAGCCGCCCCGUCCGGGAGGGAGGUGGGGGGGUCAGCCCCCCGCCCGGCCAGCCGCCCCGUCCGGGAGGGAGGUUGGGGGGUCAGCCCUCCGCCCGGCCAGCCUCCCCGUCUGGGAGGUGAGGGGCGCCUCUGCCCGGCCGCCCCUACUGGGAAGUGAGGAGCCCCUCUGCCCGGCCAGCCGCCCCGUCCGGGAGGGAGGUGGGGAGGUCGGCCCCCCGCCCGGCCAGCCGCCCCGUCCGGGAGGGAGGUGGGGGGGUCGGCCCCCCGCCCGGCCAGCCGCCCCGUCCGGGAGGGAGGUGGGGGGGUCGGCCCCCCGCCCGGCCAGCCGCCCCGUCCGGGAGGGAGGUGGGGGGGGGGUCAGCCCCCCCGCCCGGCCAGCCGCCCCGUCCGGGAGGUGAGGGGCGCCUCUGCCCGGCCGCCCCUACUGGGAAGUGAGGAGCCCCUCUGCCCGGCCAGCCGCCCCGUCCGGGAGGGAGGUGGGGGUGUCAGCCCCCCGCCCGGCCAGCCGCCCCGUCCGGGAGGGAGGUGGGGGGGGUCAGCCCCCCCGCCCGGCCAGCCUCCCCGUCCGGGAGGUGAGGGGCGCCUCUGCCCGGCCGCCCCUACUGGGAAGUGAGGAGCCCCUCUGCCCGGCCAGCCGCCCCGUCCGGGAGGGAGGUGGGGGGGGUCAGCCCCCCCGCCCGGCCAGCCGCCCCGUCCGGGAGGUGAGGGGCGCCUCUGCCUGGCCGCCCCUACUGGGAAGUGAGGAGCCCCUCUGCCCGGCCACCACCCCGUCUGGGAGGUGUGCCCAACAGCUCAUUGAGAACGGGCCAGGAUGACAAUGGCGGCUUUGUGGAAUAGAAAGGCGGGAAAGGUGGGGAAAAGACUGAGAAAUCGGAUGGUUGCCCUGUCUGUGUAGAAAGAAGUAGACAUGGGAGACUUUUCAUUUUGUUCUGCACUAAGAAAAAUUUCUCUGCCUUGGGAUCCUGUUGAUCUGUGACCUUACCCCCAACCCUGUGCUCUCUGAAACAUGUGCUGUGUCCACUCAGGGUUAAAUGGAUUGAGGGCGGUGCAAGAUGUGCUUUGUUAAACAGAUGCUUGAAGGCAGCAUGCUCGUUAAGAGUCAUCACCAAUCCCUAAUCUCAAGUAAUCAGGGACACAAACACUGCGGAAGGCCGCAGGGUCCUCUGCCUAGGAAAACCAGAGACCUUUGUUCACUUGUUUAUCUGCUGACCUUCCCUCCACUAUUGUCCCAUGACCCUGCCAAAUCCCCCUCUGUGAGAAACACCCAAGAAUUAUCAAUAAAAAAAUAAAUUAAAAAAAAAAAAAAAGAGGAAAUUCAAAUGCUCUCAGAGAAAGCAAGAGGAUGCUGAUAGAAUUGACCUGGAUAAGUCGGGGGCAUGGCGGUUCACGCAUAAACCCAGCACCUUAGAAGGCCGAGAUGAGAGGAUCGUUUGAGCCCAAGAGUCAGAGCCCAGCCUGGACAACAUAGGGAGACCCCACCUCUACAAAAAAAUAAAAUAAAAUAUCACAAAAUAAAAUAAAAGAAUUUAUCUAGA